UACGAAGGGGACUAGCGUUGUCCGGAAUUAUUGGGCGUAAAGAGCUCGUAGGCGGUCUGUCGCGUCUGCUGUGAAAACUCAGGGCUUAACCCUGAGCUUGCAGUGGGUACGGGCAGACUAGAGUGCGGUAGGGGAGACUGGAAUUCCUGGUGUAGCGGUGAAAUGCGCAGAUAUCAGGAGGAACACCGGUGGCGAAGGCGGGUCUCUGGGCCGUAACUGGACG
rnacentral:rRNA from 1 species